UACAGAGGUCCCAAGCGUUGUUCGGAUUCACUGGGCGUAAAGGGUGCGUAGGUGGUUGGGCAAGUCUGAUGUGAAAUCUCCGGGCUUAACCCGGAAAUGGCAUUGGAAACUGCCUGGCUAGAGUGUUGGAGGGGGGACUGGAAUUCUCGGUGUAGCAGUGAAAUGCGUAGAUAUCAGGAGGAACACCAAUAGCGAAGGCAGCUCGCUGGGACGUUACUGACACUGAGGCGCGAAAGCGUGGGGAGCGAACAGG
rnacentral:rRNA from 1 species